rnacentral:tmRNA from 1 species
GGGGGUGACCGGUUUUGACAGCAGGUAGAAUUUGAUUGUAAGCACGUCGAGCGCUGUGUGGCGGCUCGUUAAUCCCGACGCUCAAACUACAAAUGGCAAUAAUAGCUAUGCACUCGCUGCCUAAUUUUCAAGGAAAAUUGGCUUAAUCGACGGGCCCAAGGAGGUCUGACGACGAGUAUCCCGAAGUGCGAUUCCGCUCUUUAAUUGUGCUUCAUACGGGGUAUCAUUCUUUAAGAGAUAGCGCUGUAGGUGUCCCGACUGCAGGGCGAACUUUAGGGACUGGGACUCGUGUUAGGCUGCCGCCUGCCGGAUGCGGGUAGAAGGAUGAAAUGGUCGGCUAAACGUGUAGAAAGCUUUUGGGUUCCUUGUUUGGACGCGGGUUCGACUCCCGCCACCUCCACCA